rnacentral:rRNA from 1 species
GUUCUCGUUCUCUCUCCAUCCCCUGUGACAUACCACUUGUUGCCUCGGCGGAUCAGCCCGCUCCCGGUAAAACGGGACGGCCCGCCAGAGGACCCCUAAACUCUGUUUCUAUAUGUAACUUCUGAGUAAAACCAUAAAUAAAUCAAAACUUUCAACAACGGAUCUCUUGGUUCUGGCAUCGAUGAAGAACGCAGCAAAAUGCGAUAAGUAAUGUGAAUUGCAGAAUUCAGUGAAUCAUCGAAUCUUUGAACGCACAUUGCGCCCGCCAGUAUUCUGGCGGGCAUGCCUGUUCGAGCGUCAUUUCAACCCUCAAGCACAGCUUGGUGUUGGGACUCGCGUUAAUUCGCGUUCCUCAAAUUGAUUGGCGGUCACGUCGAGCUUCCAUAGCGUAGUAGUAAAACCCUCGUUACUGGUAAUCGUCGCGGCCACGCCGUUAAACCCCAACUUCUGAAUGUUGACCUCGGAUCAGGUAGGAAUACCCGCUGAACUUAAGCAUAUCAAUAAGGCGGAGGAAUUGCAUAGAUCAGGUAAGAAAUUCCGCUGAACUUAACCUCCCCUUCAGCGGAGAAAGAAAAACACACCAAAACCCCCCAAG